AGUUCAUUUUUUAUUUUCGAUGCUUUUGAGUGAAGCGAAGGCGACCGCGUUCGCCGGCGCGAUACCUUUGCAUUUGGAGUCAGGCGGCUCCCGGCCUCUAUAUAAUCCGGGUUCGAGCCCCGUAGUCGUGGGUUACUGGAGAGGUCCGCGCUGUUCCGACUCGCCCAGAGCAAUCCCCGAGCUAGAGUGAGGCUUCCACACCGGCAUUGAGCGCCUGCACGGCGGGGGCGCCGGGGAGAGCAAGCCGCCGUGCUUUGAGAGAGGGGAGGGCUGUGAGGGAGCCGGUUGCGGAGUGGGAGAACAAGGGGAGCCGUUUCUCUUUCCUUCGAGUCGCCGGCACUCGAGCUGUGUGAUACAAGGCGAUCUAAAACGAGUAAACGCGAAAGAGUCGCGGUCUCUCGCCGCGCCGGUGUGUUUGUUGCGGCGCUGGGGGACGCAUUGAAUUCACAUAUCGCCUGAUUUUUAAUUUUUUUUCUGACUGAAAACAACCAUGGAAAAAGUUGAAUACAUUGAAGAGCAUGAAAACGGAGCAGCUGUAGUAGACGUUGUGAAGACUUCGGAAAGAAGUUACCCUUACAGAUACACCAAGGAGGAACUGCUGGAAAUAAAGGAAUCCCCCUGGUCCAAUCAAAGACAUGAAUGCCUUUCAGAGAAGUAUGACAGGUACUGUGA